GUUGAACGCUGGCGGCAGGCCUAACACAUGCAAGUCGAACGGUAACAGGAAGACGCUUGCUUCUUUGCUGACGAUUGGCGGACGGGUGGGUAAUUUCUGCGUAACUACCUGAUGGAGGGGGAUAGCUACUGGAAACGGUAGCUAGUACCACAUAACAUCGCAAGACCAAAAAGGGUGACCUUCGGGCCUCUUGCCAUCGGAUGUUCCCAGAUGGGAUUAGCUAGUAGGUGGGGGAACGGCUCACCUAGGCGACGGGCCCUAGAUGGUCUGAGAGGAUGACAAGCCACACUGGAAUUGAGCCACGGUCCAGACUACUACGGGAGGCAGCGGUGCGGAAUAUAGCACAAGGGGAGCAAGCAUGAUGCAGCCAAGCCGAGUGUAUGAAGAAGGCCCUGGGGUUGUAAAGUAAUUUCAGCGGGGAGGAAGGGAGUAAAGUUAAUACCUUUGCUCAUUGACGUUACCCGAAGAAGAAGCACCGGCUAACUCCGUG
rnacentral:rRNA from 1 species